UACGUAGGGGGCAAGCGUUGUCCGGAUUAUUGGGCGUAAAGGGCGCGUAGGCGGUUUCUUAAGUUUGGAGUGACAGUGGGUGGCUUAACUACCCAAGGCCUCUGAAAACUGGGGAACUUGAGGACCAGAGAGGGACAUAGAAUUCCGGGUGGAGUGGUGAAAUGCGUAGAUAUCCGGAGGAAUACCAAAGGCGAAGGCAGUGUCCUGGAGGGUGACUGACGCUGAGGCGCGAAAGCUAGGGGAGCGAACAGG
rnacentral:rRNA from 1 species